rnacentral:rRNA from 1 species
UACGUAGGGGGCAAGCGUUGUCCGGAUUUAUUGGGCGUAAAGAGCGUGUAGGCGGCCAAACAGGUCAGCUGUGAAAACUCGAGGCUCAACUUCGAGACGUCGGUUGAAACCGUUUGGCUAGAGUCCGGAAGAGGAGAGUGGAAUUCCCGGUGUAGCGGUGAAAUGCGCAGAUAUCGGGAAGAACACCCGUGGCGAAGGCGGCUCUCUGGGACGGUACUGACGCUGAGACGCGAAAGCGUGGGGAGCGAACAGG